UUUUAUCCAAAGCGACUUACAGUCAUGUGUGCAUACAUUCUACGUAUGGGUGGUCCCGGGGAUCGAACCCACUACCCUGGCGUUACAAGCGCCAUGCUCUACCAACUGAGCUACAGAAGGACCACUAAUUAAUUUGAGAAGGGUGGUGGAGGGUCCAAAUAAAGCCAAAUAAAACCAAAAUGUUAUAAAAUAUCAACAAAUUCAUCGUCAUUAUCCCCCAUGUUGUUUCACCUCCGCUUCUGGGAGGAGCCAGGCGAGGCCACAGAUCAGACUCCUCCAUCUCAUCCCACCAACUCUGUCAGUCCACCAGGCCACUGCAGUAACAGCCACAUCUUCACGUCACGUAGCUUCAGUACCAUCUCAUCCCACCAACUCUGUCAGUCCACCAGGCCACUGCAGUAACAGCCACAUCUUCACAUCACAAAGCUUCAGUACCAUCUCAAUGUGUUGAAGUACCAUCCAGGAUCCUGUGGCAACGUCAAUGUGAAACAGCAUUGACCCGUGAUCACCACCAACCAGAGCUCCACAGCAGUUGCCUUGGACACCCAGUGAAACAGCACUGACCCGUGAUCACCACCAACCAGGGAUCCACAGCGGUUGCCUUGGACACCCAGUGAAACAGCACUGACCCGUGAUCACCACCAACCAGAGCUCCACAGCGGUUGCCUUGGACACCCAGUGAAACAGCACUGACCCGUGAUCACCACCAACCAGGGAUCCACAGCGGUUGCCUUGGACACCCAGUCUUCACUCAAGAUCGUCAAAAGGACAUUUGGAAGGAUCCCAUUGAGCAAAGUAAACAACGAUAUGUUUUUUCAUGUCUUUUGCUCGUAGGGAUGACUUCCCGAGAGAGAACACCAGGCAGCAUGGAGCACUUUGAUGUGAUUGGCUGUUCAGCAGGAAGUUUCAUCUGGCUACACAGAAGGGAUGAUGAAUCUGACAGAAUGGUUUUUUUAAAUACAUAUUUAAAAAAGAUGAAAAGUACAGAAUGACUCGAUUGAUCAAUUAAUAACACAACUGUUUUUUUAAAUACAUGGAAUAAUGUGAUUAGUCAAGGUACAGAGUUCCUCUGUCCAGUGUCUGUUAUUUUGCCCAUCUUAAUCUUUUAUUGGCCAGUCUGAGAUAUGGCUUGUUCGGUGUAACUCUGCCUAGACGGCCAAUUUCAAAUUUUGAAGUGACCCCAAACGUUUGAACGGUAGUGUACACUACCAGUCAAAAGGUUUGGACACACCUACUCAUUCAAUAAAAAUAAAAAUAAACUAUUUUCUACACUGUAGAAUAAUAGUGGAGACAUCAAAACUAUGAAAUAACACAUAUGGAAUCAUGUAGUAACCAAAGAAGUGUUAAUCAAAUCAAAAUAUGUUUUAUAUUAUAGAUUCUUCAAGGUAGCCACCCUUUUGCCUUGAUCUAUUAGAUGCUAUAGACUAUGUUCAGUUUAGUAUAGGAGUUUAGUAUAGGAGUUUAGUAUAGGAGUUUAGUAUAGGAGUUUAGUAUAGGAGUUUAGUAUAGGAGUUUAGUAUAGGAGUUUAGUAUAGGAGUUUAGUAUAUUCUACCUUGUUUGUGCGCUAUGACCUCACAGACCCGAUACACAUAACCACAAGUAGGAAACAAGGUAGCAUAUGAUUCUCCCAUCUGACAGGGAGGGGUGGAACCAACCAUGAAUAAACUGUUUUGUGUUUUCUGUAUUAUUGGGCUCUCAAUGAUCACCUACGGGAGGUCGUUGACCAGCUCCAUAAUUGAUCACCUACGGGAGGUCGUUGACCAGCUCCAUAAUUGAUCACCUACGGGAGGUCGUUGACCAGCUCCGUUAUUGAUCACCUACGGGAGGUCGUUGACCAGCUCCAUAAUUGAUCACCUACGGGAGGUCGUUGACCAGCUCCGUUAUUGAUUACCUACGGGAGGUCGUUGACCAGCUCCGUUAUUGAUCACCUACGGGAGGUUGUUGACCAGCUCCAUAAUUGAUCACCUACGGGAGGUCGUUGACCAGCUCCGUUAUUGAUCACCUACGGGAGGUCGUUGACCAGCUCCGUUAUUGAUUACCUAAGGGAGGUCGUUGACCAGAUCCAUUAUUGAUCACCUACGGGAGGUCGUUGACCAGCUCCGUUAUUGAUCACCUACGGGAGGUCGUUGACCAGCUCCAUUAUUGUUCACCUACGGGAGGUCGUUGACCAGCUCCAUUAUUGAUUACCUACGGGAGGUCGUUGACCAGCUCCAUUAUUGAUCACCUACGGGAGGUCGUUGACCAGCUCCAUUAUUGCAAUAAUUAAUCAAUAUUAAAGGUUGAUUGUUUGAAGAAA